rnacentral:rRNA from 1 species
AAAGGAAUUGACGGGGGCCCGCACAAGCGGAGGAACAUGUGGUUUAAUUCGAUGAUACGCGAGGAACCUUACCCGGGUUUAAAUGGUGAGUGACAGAGGCAGAGAUGCCUUUUUCUUCGGACACUCAUCAAGGUGCUGCAUGGUUGUCGUCAGCUCGUGCCGUGAGGUGUCGGGUUAAGUCCCAUAACGAGCGCAACCCACGUUGUCAGUUACCAGCAUGUAAAGAUGGGGACUCUGGCAAGACUGCCGGUGUAAACCGCGAGGAAGGUGUGGAUGACGUCAAAUCAGCACGGCCCUUACAUCCGGGGCUACACACGUGUUACAAUGGCCGGUACAGAGGGCAGCUACACCGCGAGGUGGUGCGAAUCCCAUAAAACCGGUCCCAGUUCGGAUCGGAGUCUGCAACCCGACUCCGUGAAGCUGGAUUCGCUAGUAAUCGCGCAUCAGCCAUGGCGCGGUGAAUACGUUCCCGGGCCUUGUACACACCGCCCGU